ensembl:lncRNA
GUGAUGCAGCAGGAAUGACGCAGCAGUGUCAGGGCCUCAUCGGCCUCCAGACGGGCAGCGUCUCAGGAGAGGACUGGAGACAGAAUCUGUGUGCCCAGGCUGGGCCCAGACACACACCGGCAGCCAGCCACCAGUUAACAGAGAAGUUUGAAGGGAAGAAUCUCCAAGCAAUUAUUCAAGAGUGAAAGAAGAAUUCGUCACAGAAAAUGGCAACAAUGAAUCAGCAGGUUAGAUCCUUUUUAUUUCUCCAACUUCCACAAAUAAUACAUCUGUGUUCAUAGCAAAAUAAUUUGUCCAAAUGAUUUGUUCAAAUUUCAACUGCUCUUUCUGUACUCUUAGUUUGCAAAACAUUUGAAGUACUAAAAUAAUGUGGGAUAGAUGUUGUGGUGAGCAAGACAAACGGUAGGUACUGCAGACACUUCAUUUGCAGUUCUCAAAACUGUAAAGAACAAAGAGCAUGGAGGGUAAAGGAGAGCUAGGCUUAUUUGUUUUGGGAUGUCGUGUUCGUCUGCAGUGUACCAGUGGAAAUCAAUUUGUGUAGGCAAGACUACGAAUACAGGAAAAGGGUGAGGAAGCAGGCGAGACCAUUAACCAUACAUAGCAGGCAUGGAGGAAGAGAACGGAAAGACACCAGAGGGAAAAAACUGAGAUAAAUAGAAAUUGCAAUAUGGAGACAUGAUAGUGGCCACCCAAACAUGGCAAAUCAUAUUUCCUCUGGUUUUACGAGGCUCCCUCCCAGGCCCCGUAAGGUUUGCAACCUUUAAUGUUCCAUAACACCAUGCUUUUAAGGUAGCACUGUUUUCUUAGACGGUUGCCAUAGCAACAAGGUCAUGCCAAAGUGUAGCGGCUUACAGGAGUGUGAGGACUGGCGUGGUGCCAGGCUGGCGAACUGCUUCCCCAGGCCAACGCAAGCAGACAGGUGCCUUGAUUGCACUCAGGUAACGACAACAAUCAAGCUGGGUAGGCCUGCACCAGAAAUAGCUGGCAGACGGCUGAGCAGACAGAGAAAGCACAGAGAGCAGAAGGGGACAGAGGCAUGGGGAUUGUCAUGAUAAACUGAACUAACACUGGUAGGACGUGCACAGCGAAUGUCUCCCAUUUGUUUCAUGAGGCCAAUCUGUUCUAACACCUAAGUCAAAUAUACAAUGUGCAUGGUUUUCACAUUCGGGUGCACAAGCUGUAUCCCUAAGCCCAGAAAGAAAGCGGAGACACGUUAUGCAAAUUCAAAAACACUUGUGAUAAAACCUCGGUCUUCAUACGUAUAAAACGGCUGUCUGCGUCUACAGCAGCUGGCGGGGAUAACAGUGCCCUGCCUGCCUGGUUUAGCCCCUCCCCCUGCACUCUGCAGUGCUGAGGCAUCCCUCUGUGUUCCCAUCCAUCAGCAGCCUCUACAAAGAUGAACCCACUGUCCUCCUCUCCUCCAGCUCUCUCCUCAGUCCUUUUUUCUAACUUUGAAAGUGCACAGAUGCAGGCGAGAUAAAUAAGCUAUAUGUAGUCGCCGAUAUCUCAUUGAUCAUGCUGCUAUAUACAAACAAGGGCAUAGCAGGCUAAUUGUGUUCAUGAGGCAAUGCACUGCAAUGUACACAGACGUGCUGACAAAGAGCGAGAGAGGGUUUGAGUGUACACGGUAGCACAAAGAGAAAGUGCCUGUGUGCAUAGGCAUGAGACAGAUGGCGAGUGUGAUGUGACGUGUUUGAAAGUGAGCUACAGAUCCAGCUUCCCUGUAAGAUACAGUAUGAAUGGUGUCGGUGUGGAGGUCGAGCAGAAAUGUGAUUGUGGGUGCGCUUUGUAGUAUGGUUGAAGUUGUAUCGCUGUAACCGCUCUAGCAGACGUGCAGCCUAGGCGUUUUCUCUGAUCUGUGCAGCACGGCGUAGGGGUGUGUGAUGUAGCACUGAGCCGCUCUGUCUUACCGUCCUCAGCCAUGCUUAAUAAAGUUGCCGUUUCCUGCUUGGCGACUGCAGAGUAGAUGCCGCUGGACUCAAGUUGCCCAGGCAGCAGAGAGGCAGCAGACAGACCCAUAGUCCAAUAAAGCUAUUUUUAAACGUUCAUGUGGGAAUCCUGUGGUCAAUGGUCUGAGAGCUGGGGCAAGCCAGGACAGGACUGGGUGGAAGAGGAGAGAGCGGCGUACUCGACCAGGACCUAGGGAGAGGCAAAGGACGUGGACGCUGGAGUGAGCAGCGUAGAAAGAGAGAGGGAGGGAGUGAGAGAGGGAGAGGUAAGAAAGACAACAGCGAAAGCUCUGCCUCUAACGGCACCACUGGGCAGCGGCAAGUCUAGAAAAAAAAAAGUGUAUACUUUCGCCUUCCUUUCAAAGUUAAAAAAAAAAAAUUCUGUACAGUAGAGGGGACACUGUAAUGUUUUUGGCUGUUCGUUUUCUGUGUCAGCUGUUCGCCUUCUGUGUCAUUUUCUCUGAUUCGCAAAGGUAUGUUCUGCACGUUUCCACCCAAUCUACAACUGCUUUUUAACAGAAAUACACAUAUUGCAUGGGGUGGCUUGAGUGUGGGUUCUGCUAUGACAUUUUCGCUCUUUGUUUGACUAGACAGCUUGCAUUCGAGACUGUUUUUUUCUCGCCUUGUGGUUCACAGCAAUUAGGGGAUUUACAUUUUUCAGGUUUUGAAAUGCACAUCGAAUGAUAUUCUAAGGCACAGUGAACUAGGGUGUGGCAAAGAGACAUCCUUUGACUAAUUCAACAUUUCCGCUCAAUAUGUGAACAGAGUAAACCACAUCAAGAUGAGAGAAUUGGUCAUAUCAGCCCUUAUUGAAAAUAAUCAACUGAAACCGGCAGACAUGCAGGAAAUUUCCAGAUGAAAAUGCAUGGAAAGCGGCACAAACCAGGGGAAAUCAGCAUCAAGGCUGAAGCACAUCGCUUGCCGUAAGCGGAAGAGAGAGAAAGUCCUUCGGACUGCUGCAUUUCUGCUGCAGACUCUCACACACACCGACCGACACAUAUCCAGAGUGGAAACAAAGGGCGGAAAGCCUCCAUUGCGGUGGCGUUGGAGCAUGAGAGAUCUGCAGUGCUGGGGCUCGCAGACAGGCAGGGCUCUCUGUGAGGAAGGACCAAACCAAAUCCCCAGACAGCUAAUGCAGUCGCCCGCCUGCCCCGCCAUCCAUCUGAAUCUGAAUCCUAAUAUGCGCUGCGCCACAGCAUGUUGCCGUGACAACAGAGGCCUGUCAGACGGGGAGGCAGGAGGCUGUUUCCCAGCGAUACGGCGAGGCUUCUCUUCUCUCGGUCUGCUGCCAGCCAUAUUGUAAUCAUGGCACCUAGAGAAAACAUUAGCAAAAAUCUGUAUUUUAUUAAGAUUAUUACAUAUUUUUUUCAAACAAGGAUGCGUGAUCACUUUAAUAAGUUAAGUUAC